CACACAUAGUUCUAAUAACCAAAGGCAGUGAGAAGAAAUAGAGAUCAUGGUCUAUUUUCUUCUGGCAGAAGGGCCCGGUGAAUUGUUCACCAAAUGCAGUUUCUCUUCUUCGGCACAUGGCUGGAUAUCUCCCAACCCUUCUUGCAGCUAGGUGGAUGUGGCAACAUGACUAGGUCUUGGCCAACGGAUAUGGACAAAAGUGAUCUGCUCCACCUCUAGGCCUGUCCCAUAAAAACCUAUGAGAUCCUCUACUCUCUUUCUCCCAAAUUCAGGGCAACCUUGGAAGUCCAGUGUUGAGACAGAGCAGAGUCUCCUGAGGUUUAAAUCCUGAAUAAUUGCAAGAUCAGAGACUCCUCUGUUCCUGCUAACUGGAUUGUUCAUGAAUAAGAAAUUAUCUUCUCCUGGGAUUUCAGAGUUUGUCCACUAUAGUGGUUGGUGUUACUCUUAUACAUGCUUGGAAUAUAAUUUUAAGUGUCACGUGGGAGGUAAAGUGAAAGACUCCAAAAUGUAAACAAAAUGUGAGUCAUAGUCGGCUUACGAGGAUUACCAGCAAUUCCUGGCAAAUCUUUCAUUGUGAAACUCAAAAGUUCUUGACUGAUUAUCUGGAACCCAUUGAAGGAUUGAGGAGCGUGACCUGGUUGCUUUGGAGGUGAUGAAUUCUACUAUGUGGGCUUUCUCAAGGGCCCACAGGCACUUCCACUAAGAGGAGGCCAAUGAGAAGGCCUCUCCCAGCUUAAAAUGGCUUUUGGCUGGGCAGGAGUCCUUCUCACCCCCACCAUCACCCUCCACCUGACCCCAGGCAGACACCUCACACAGACCAGCCUUUCACCAAAUCUCAAGGUUUUUGGGAUCUAAAAAACAACUCAUUCCCACAGACAGGUUGGGUUUCCUGGUACAAUCUAACAUCAUAUUUCAUUUAUCUUUUAUAUUUGUACCUUCUGGAUACACUGACAUAUGACUUCCAAAGUGAGACACUUUCCUAAAAAUAAGAUAUUGGGAGUAUAGCGCUAGUCCUUGACAAGGAAAUUAGACCUUUCAGGGUUCUACAGAAUUUGUGCCAGUGUCAGAGCAGUGACUUAUUAUUUUUUUGGAAAGAAGUGACUUAUCUUUCUUGAAAGGUGUUCUGUUAUUCUUCACAAAUCUAUAAUGACAGGCCCGGUGACAAGGGUAGUAAACGUUCUGCAAUCCUUUUGUGUGGGGAGUAUUUGAGUGAAUAUUUAGCAUGAGGAAGAGAAGGAAAUUUGAGAGGGGUUGAAUCUGUAAUACAGUGGAAAGAAUAUACAGAAGAAAUCGGAAAGCCAGGCUUGGCUGCUCUUGAACCUAUGUGAAUUGGGGUAAAUCAUGUCAUUGCUUUGAGCUGGUUUCUUCACCUGAAGUUAGCAAUAACCGCCUUGUUAACCUCACUGACUCAUCUUUUAUGGGGUUAUUUGUGUGAAAAUACAUUGAAAAAAUGGGCAUUAUACAUAAUGUUAUGUAUUACUUGUAGAUUAUCUAAAGGACUCUUUGGCAGAAGAGUUGUCAGAUGAUGAUGAUAAUGGUGGUGGUGGUGAUUUUGCCUGAGAGAAUAAAACUAAGACCCCAGCUAUGAAAGAAACAAGGAGUAUGAUCUGAAAUGAGAAGGCCAGAGCAGACUACUGCAAUAGAUUGGGCAAGACACGACAAGGAUUUGAACCCAUGCUUGGAAAGCUGGUAUGAAAAGAGAGGUUCAACAGAUACUUCUAAGUCACCAAGAUAUGGAAGCAGCCCAAGUGUCCAUCAG